GUCUAAUUAGCCCAUGAAUUACAAAUGUCUGAAAAAGUUCUAUUGCUAUUUCCCGAGGCAAUCCACAUCGAUGUAAUGGAAGUGAGGAGAUCAGAAGAUCACACUCUGAA